GCAGGCCAAGUUGCAAGCAGAGAAAUAUCCCAGUAUUUCAUCGAGCUGAGCUUCCGUUGACUUGUAAAUCACGUUGAUUGACGGAAAAUGGCGUCUCGGAAAUACCUCUUAGAAAUACAGGGAGGAUUUUAUUGCCACCAGGCUACAUUGAGGGGUCAGUGAUGAAAACUGCAAUGGCACACUAAAAAAAAAAAAAAAGUGUUUUUUUUUCCUACUCCUUUUUAACACUGCAUUGAGAGUAUGAAUAACUAAAGGGAUAUUUGCUCCUUUUUUCUCAUUUCUUAGAGUUAAAUAGUUCGUGCAGGGCAGUGUGGACAUUCUGUGAUACCUUAACAUGCAGGACUGAUAAAGAAGCUAUCCUGCCUUACAUGGAAUCUCC